rnacentral:rRNA from 1 species
CAGUACCGUGAGGGAAAGGUGAAAAGUACCCCGGAAGGGGAGUGAAAGAGAACCUGAAACCGUGUGCUUACAAGAAGUUCGAGCCCGUUAAUGGGUGAGAGCGUGCCUUUUGUAGAAUGAACCGGCGAGUUACGUUUACGUGCGAGGUUAAGUUGAAGAGACGGAGCCGUAGGGAAACCGAGUCUGAAAAGGGCGGUUAAGUACGUAGAUGUAGACCCGAAACCAAGUGACCUACCCAUGAGCAGGUUGAAGGUGCGGUAAAACGCACUGGAGGACCGAACCGGGACACGUUGAAAAGUGUUUGGAUGACUUGUGGGUAGCGGAGAAAUUCCAAACGAACUUGGAGAUAGCUGGUUCUCUCCGAAAUAGCUUUAGGGCUAGCGUCGGUCGCGAGACUCUUGGAGGUAGAGCACUGUUUGAUUGAGGGGUCCAUCCCGGAUUACCAAUCUCAGAUAAACUCCGAAUGCCAACGAGUUAAGACCGGCAGUCAGACUGCGAGUGCUAAGAUCCGUAGUCGAAAGGGAAACAGCCCAGACCACCAGCUAAGGUCCCCAAAUAAUUGUUAAGUGGAAAAGGAUGUGGGGUUGCACAGACAACUAGGAUGUUAGCUUAGAAGCAGCUAUUCAUUCAAAGAGUGCGUAAUAGCUCACUAGUCGAGUGACCCUGCGCCGAAAAUGUACCGGGGCUGAAACAAUUUACCGAAGCUGUGGAUCUCUUAGGGGAUGGUAGGAGAGCGUUCUAUGUGCGCAGAAGGUGUACCGCAAGGAGCGCUGGAGUGCAUAGAAGUGAGAAUGCCGGUAUGAGUAGCGUAAGACAGGUGAGAAUCCUGUCCACCGUAAGACUAAGGAUUCCAGGGGAAGGCUCGUCCGCCCUGGGUUAGUCGGGACCUAAGGAGAGACCGAUAGGUGUAUCCGAUGGGCAACAGGUUGAUAUUCCUGUACUAGAGUAUUGAGUGAAGGAGGGACGCAGCAGGCUAACUAGAGCGUGCGAUUGGAAGAGCACGUCCAAGCAGUGAGGUGAGGACUGAGUCAAAUGCUUAGUUCUGCGCCACCAAGCUGUGACGGGGAGCGAAGUUUAGUAGCGAAGCUAGUGAUGUCACCCUGCCAAGAAAAGCUUCUAGCGUUAAUGAAUACUCUACCCGUACCGCAAACCGACACAGGUAGUCGAGGCGAGUAGCCUCAGGUGAGCGAGCGAACUCUCGUUAAGGAACUCGGCAAAAUGGCCCCGUAACUUCGGGAGAAGGGGCGCUGGCGAUAAGUCAGCCGCAGUGAAAAGGCCCAAGCAACUGUUUAUCAAAAACACAGCUCUCUGCGAAAUCGUAAGAUGAAGUAUAGGGGGUGACGCCUGCCCGGUGCUGGAAGGUUAAGAGGAGCGCUUAGACGUUUGUCGAAGGUGUGAAUUGAAGCCCCAGUAAACGGCGGCCGUAACU